rnacentral:rRNA from 1 species
UACGUAGGGGGCUAGCGUUGUCCAGAUUUAUUGGGCGUAAAGAGCGUGUAGGCGGCCAGGUAGGUCUGGUGUGAAAACUCGAGGCUUAACCUCGAGAUGUCAUCGGAAACCAUCUGGCUAGAGUCCGGAAGAGGAGAGUGGAAUUCCUGGUGUAGCGGUGAAAUGCGCAGAUAUCAGGAAGAACACCAAUGGCGAAAGCAGCUCUCUGGGACGGUACUGACGCUGAGACGCGAAAGCGUGGGGAGCGAACAGG